rnacentral:misc_RNA from 1 species
ACACGUAUCCACGUAUCAACCCCUCUGUGCACUGCAUCUCUCGUAAGGCUUGGUCGGAGUUGUACUCAUUCGAUCUUAAUGAUGGGAGUUUCCCCCUCUCGGGGGCCGCUCGGGAUCUAUGAGUGAGUAUCGCGUUUGACGAUCAGCCGCUAUUUUUCCAUCGUUAGCCCUUUACUCUUUUUAACCCCUUUGUACUUUUAUGUACUGAACCAAUUCUUCGAGUUUGGCUCUUGUAGCUGAGCACGAAAGAUAUUACGAAACUAAAGAA